rnacentral:tRNA from 2 species
GCCUGGGUGGUGGAAUUGGCAGACACGCUGGAUUUAGGAUCCAGUGCCGCGAGGCGUAGGGGUUCGACCCCCCUCCCAGGUACCA